GGUUGUGUAGUGUAGUGGUUAUCACUGUAGGUUCUCGGAGAAGCCUUGUUACAUCCAUCACGUACUGACUCCCAUCGAGCCGGAUUUUGAUCGCUUGCCAUCAAAUGUCUUCCGGCAACCCCGGUUCGAGCCCGGGCACGACCU
rnacentral:tRNA from 1 species